rnacentral:sRNA from 1 species
GUGCGGCUCGCGGGGCAGCUCGGCAGCAUGGCGUCCGUGGCGCUGAGCGAGGCAGAGAAGGUGUACAUCGUGCACGGCGUCCAGGAAGACCUCCGUGUGGAUGGCCGUGGCUGUGAGGACUACCGAUGUGUUGAAGUGGAAACCGAUGUGGUGUCCAACACCAGUGGGUCUGCCAGGGUCAAGCUGGGUCACACAGACAUCUUGGUGGGAGUAAAAGCAGAAAUGGGGACACCGAAGCUGGAGAAACCAAAUGAAGGCUACUUGGAGUUCUUUGUUGACUGUUCAGCCAGUGCUACCCCUGAAUUUGAAGGUAGAGGAGGUGAUGACCUUGGCACCGAGAUCGCUAACACCCUCUAUCGGAUAUUUAACAAUAAAAGCAGUGUCGACCUAAAGACCCUCUGCAUUAGUCCUCGGGAGCACUGCUGGAUUCUCUAUGUGGAUGUGCUGCUGCUGGAAUGUGGUGGAAAUUUGUUUGAUGCCAUUUCCAUUGCUGUAAAGGCUGCUCUCUUCAAUACAAGGUAAGUCUUCCUGGAAACAGCUCUGCGAACCUGUGGAGAACCAGAGCAGACACUUGUAAUGGAACACUGGGAAAUUUCUAUUGUAGCUCAUAUGUGAAGAUAACAGGGGGUUUUAACAUUGAAAAUGGUGACAUCUAACGUUAAACUCCAGAAAAGAUAGAUUUCGUAAAUUAAAACUACAUAUAUACAUACAUUCUGUAUUUAUUUUUUGUAUUGUUAUUUUUAUAAAUAGACACCUACCAUUUAGAAAAAUAUUAGAAAACUACAGAGAAGCCAAGAAGAGUAGACACCACCUACAGGCCAACUAUCCAAAUACUAUUACUGGGUGAACUCUAUGGGGGCAAGGAUUUUGCCUGUUUUGUACUUGCCUAUAUUCCUAGCACCAUGAACAGUACCUGACACAUAGUAAGUGCUUGCAUAUUGCUUGAUUGUACACGUUUGUUCUAAAAGCAGGGUAACAGGCUUCCCUUUGGUUUAAGAAGAGGAAAUGGCUAUUCCACAUGGUUCAGCUUUCCAAACAGGUUGUGUAGAAGGGACAAGUUGCUAUGCUUUUUUGGAGUUGACAUUUAUUCUGACUGUUUGAUUAUUAACCUUUCCCCCUUUUAUGCUCCAAGUACUUUGAGGAAAAUUUGCAG